rnacentral:rRNA from 1 species
UACGUAGGGUGCAAACGUUGUUCGGAAUCACUGGGCAUAAAGAGCGCGUAGGCGGUCUGAUAAGUCUUGUGUGAAAGCCCCCGGCUCAACCGGGGAAUUGCACUGGAUACUGUCGGGCUAGAGUACAGGAGGGGAGAGCGGAAUUCCUGGUGUAGCGGUGGAAUGCGCAGAUAUCAGGAAGAACACCCGUGGCGAAGGCGGCUCUCUGGGACGGUACUGACGCUGAGACGCGAAAGCGUGGGGAGCGAACAGG